rnacentral:rRNA from 1 species
CAAGUUGUUGCAGUUAAACGCUCGUAGUCGUAUAUUGGCGGGCAUGUCGGGGCGUCCUCGCGGACGUGCUCGGCGUGGCCGCCUUUGUGGAGGGGGGCUGCGUGGUGCUUCACUGCAUUGCGUGGUCGCUGCCACCGUUUACUGKGAAAAAAUUAGAGUGUUCAAAGCGGGCGAUUGCCAUGAAUACAUUAGCAUGGAAUAAUAGAAUAGGACUUGGUCUUAUUUUGUUGGUUUGUKGAGAUCAGGUAAUGAUUAAGAGGGACGGUUGGGGGCAUUUGUAUUCCGACGUCAGAGGUGAAAUUCUUGGAUUGCCGGAAGACAAACAGCUGCGAAAGCGUCUGCCAAGGACGUUUUCAUUGAUCAAGAACGAAAGUAAGGGGAUCGAAGACGAUCAGAUACCGUCGUAGUCUUUACUAUAAACGAUGAGGACUGGGGAUCGGGCGUUGCCUAUUGGUACGCUCGGCACCCUUCGGGAAACCAAAGUGUUUGCUUUCUGGGGGGAGUAUGGUCGCAAGGCUGAAACUUAAAGGAAUUGACGGAAGGGCAUCACCGGGUGUGGAGCCUGCGGCUUAAUUUGACUCAACACGGGGAAACUUACCAGGUCCGGACAUAGUGAGGAUUGACAGAUUGAGAGCUCUUUCUUGAUUCUAUGGUUGGUGGUGCAUGGCCGUUCUUAGUUGGUGGAGUGAUCUGUCUGGUUAAUUCCGUUAACGAGCGAGACCUGGGCGUGCUAGCUAGGCGCGGUUACCACUUUUGGUAGCCAGGCGGCCUUCCUAGACGGACUGUGGGCGUCUAGUCCMCGGAAGCUCCAGGCAAUAACAGGUCUGAGAUGCCCUUAGAUGUUCUGGGCCGCACGCGUGCUACACUGAGCGGAKCAACGGGUGAGGAUGCGCGAGAGCGUUUCCCAAUCUCUAAAUCCGCUCGUGCUGGGGAUCGAGGCUUGCAAUUUUCCCUCUUGAACGAGGAAUACCUUGUAAGCGCGGGUCAUCAUCCCGUGCUGAAUACGUCCCUGCCCUUUGUACACACCGCCCGUCGCUCCUACCGAUUGAGUGGUCCGGUGAGGCCUUGGGAGGGCUGUGUGGACUGUGUUUCACAGACC